rnacentral:rRNA from 1 species
UACAGAGGUCUCAAGCGUUGUUCGGAUUCAUUGGGCGUAAAGAGCGUGUAGGCGGCCAGGUAGGUCCGGUGUGAAAACUCGAGGCUUAACCUCGAGAUGUCAUCGGAAACCAUCUGGCUAGAGUCCGGAAGAGGAAAGUGGAAUUCCUGGUGUAGCGGUGAAAUGCGCAGAUAUCAGGAGGAACACCGGUGGCGAAGGCGGGUCUCUGGGCAACAACUGACGCUGAGGAGCGAAAGCGUGGGGAGCGAACAGG